GAAGGGAAGCAGAGGAAAGUUUGGAGAAGUGCUGUGGUGGGCUAAGAAGACCAAAACCCUAGAUCGAGACUGGAUGCUUCUAAGGCAGAACUGCUUAGUCAAACCCUAGUUGUUGGGCUGAGAACAGGAGUCACUGGAUGCAAUUCUCUGGCCUGUGUUAUACAGAAGAUUCAGUUACCAGACCUCACAGCCCCUCCAGUUGCUGAGCCCUCCCUGCCUUGGGCCUCCACACUCCGAGCGCUUGGUGGUAGUGUUGCUUGGAUACUCAAGGAAAGCAAAAGGUGGCUGCCAAGAACCUACUCCCUUUACUGAUGCGACAGGGAAGUCCUGUCACGACCCUCCGCAGUGAGAAUCGCUCUUCACCGCCACAUUGCUAUGAGCUGUCCACAGACCAGCAGAAGAUAUGCUUCCAGCUUGCCCUACAUCCCCCGCCCUUCUCCAAACUCCCCUUCCAGCCUUUCACAAAUAGCAACAGGGACACAGAAUG